rnacentral:rRNA from 1 species
UACGUAGGGUGCAAGCGUUAAUCGGAAUUACUGGGCGUAAAGCGUGCGCAGGCGGUCUUGUAAGACCGAUGUGAAAUCCCCGGGCUUAACCUGGGAACUGCAUUGGUGACUGGCAGGCUUUGAGUGUGGCAGAGGGAGGUAGAAUUCCACGUGUAGCAGUGAAAUGCGUAGAGAUGUGGAGGAAUACCGAUGGCGAAGGCAGCCUCCUGGGCCAACACUGACGCUCAUGCACGAAAGCGUGGGGAGCAAACAGG